rnacentral:rRNA from 1 species
UACAGAGGUCUCAAGCGUUGUUCGGAUUCAUUGGGCGUAAAGGGGGCGUAGGCGGCGCGGUAAGUCGGGGGUGAAAUCUCGGAGCUUAACUCCGAAACUGCAUUCGAUACUGCCGUGCUUGAGGACUGGAGAGGAGACUGGAAUUUACGGUGUAGCGGUGAAAUGCGUAGAUAUCGUAAGGAAGACCAGUGGCGAAGGCGGGUCUCUGGACAGUUCCUGACGCUGAGGCACGAAGGUCAGGGGAGCAAACGGG